ensembl:lincRNA
GGAGAAGUAGAGACUUAGAAAGAGGUAAGGUAUGCCUAAGUGACAUAGCAAAUAAAUAACAGAAUAGUAAUUUGCUCCUGGGCAGCAAAUUCCAAGGCUCUUGUUUUUUUCUUUUCUUUUCUUUCUUUUUUUUUUUUUUUCCAAAUAGGUUCUGCACCCAACAUGGGACUUGAACUCACUAUCCUAAGAUCAAGGGUUUCAUGCUGUACCAACUGAGCCAACUCUUGUUUCUUACCAUUAUACUGUACCACCAUCAUGGAUUGAAGGGAAGAGAUUGGACAUGAACUGCACUUUGUCCAACUUGAGAUGAGCAUAGAUCUGGAGGUUACACCUGGGCUCAGACCUACUUGCAGGAAUGCUUUCCAUUAUCUCCCUGACAGAUGAUCACCCAAGUUCUUUUUGAAUGCUUUCAUUGUUGGAGAGCUCAUUACUUCUUGAGGAAUCCCAUUAUAUGUUGAAUAGCUCUCUGGUGAUCUCAACCUUUCUGACAGCUCCACUUAACCGUCUACAUAUGGAUGAUGCCCAGCUCUGUCUGCAGACCAGUGUCCAGCUGCUCACGUGGCCGGCAUCACAGGGAUAUUGUGCACACUCACCACCAUGUGGCCUCCUGCUCCUCCUUACUUGCUGCCUCACCUGGUGUCCUGUCACAUGAUUUUAUUUAUUUAUUUGACAGAGAGAGAGAGAACACAAGUAGGCAGAGAGACAGGCAGAGAGGGG